AGAGUGAACGCUGGCGGCAGGCCUAACACAUGCAAGUCGAACGGCAGCACAGGGGAGCUUGCUCCCUGGGUGGCGAGUGGCGGACGGGUGAGGAAUACAUCGGAAUCUACCCAGUCGUGGGGGAUAACCUCGGGAAACCGGGACUAAUACCGCAUACGACCCACGGGUGAAAGCGGAGGACCGCAAGGCUUCGCGCGAUUGGAUGAGCCGAUGUCGGAUUAGCUUGUUGGCGGGGUAAUGGCCCACCAAGGCGACG
rnacentral:rRNA from 1 species